CCACACCUAAAACUUUCCACGUGAACUGUCAUGUAACGUUUCGUACUUGCUGUGUGUUGUGUCGAUGUGCAUUCAUUUGCGUGUCGGCUGCGCACUGGCAGGUUGAACGAAGGUCGCAUUGUGUACUUGCCUGUGUCGCUCUUUUUUUGUUUCCUUUGUGUUGUAUUUCGGUACAAGAGAGAGGAGAGAGAGAGAGAGUGCGCGCGGUGUGUGUGUGCGGUGUCGGCUGACCUAUUUUUUCAAACCCAAUUACCUCAAAUACUGAUCAAUACUGUGAGAACGAAAGUUCUUGCUUUAAACUAGAUAACAACUUUCAGCAGUGGAUGUCUAGGCUCGCACAUCGAUGAAGAACGCUGCGAACUGCGAUACGUAAUGCGAAUUGCAGAAUUCAGUGAGUCAUCGAAAUUUUGAACGCAUAUUGCACUUUCGGGUUAUGCCUGGAAGUAUGUCUGUAUCAGUGUCCGUAAAUCAACCUUGCCUUUCUUUUUCUGUGUAGUCAGUGAGAGAGAGUUGCAGAUGUGAAGUGUCUCGGCCGUUGGCGUGUGUGUGUCGUGUGCUUUUGUUAGCACGUGGUGCGUCGCGCACUGUGGCCGAGUCCUUUUAAACGGACCCGAUCUUUCUUAUGUUUCUGCGACGUGUGGCGCUCGAACGCGGCGAUUUUCGGAUCGCUCGCAGUUGUCGGCGACUUCGGCGAAGACAUUACGGAGGAAACCUCAAUUCGCGGUAUGUUAGGCUUCGGUCGGACAAUGUUGCUUAUUGUGUGUGGAAUCUGUUUUCGCCUUGAGGUGUACUGGCGGUUGUGGGCUUGUGUCUGUUGGUCGUUAUUUUCCGUGUAGUAGAGAGCUGCUUGUGUGCGUGGAUUCUGCCUGUCUCAGUCAGUUCGCUGGCUGUGUGUGGUAAAAGAUAGAUUGCAUUUGGGAAAUGUUGUACUCUUGGUUGUUUGUGUCUCUGUAAUGGAGCGCGGCGGCUUUUUGUAUCUCAAUUGGACCUGAUAUCAGACAAGACUACCCGCU
rnacentral:rRNA from 1 species